UGGGGGCCCGCAAGGGCAACCGGUGAACGGGUGCGUAACACGUGAGCGACCUGCCUGAGUGCGGGGGAUAGCCGGCCCAACGGCCGGGUAAUACCGCAUACGCUUGUUUGAGGGCAUCCUUGGACAAGGAAACCUCCGGGGCACUCAGAGGGGCUCGCGGCCUAUCAGCUAGUUGGCGGGGUAAUGGCCCACCAAGGCGACGACGGGUAGCUGGUCUGAGAGGAUGGCCAGCCACAUUGGGACUGAGAGACGGCCCAGACUCCUACGGGAGGCAGCAGUGGGGAAUCUUGCGCAAUGGCCGAAAGGCUGACGCAGCGACGCCGCGUGUGGGAGGAAGCUCUUCGGGGUGUAAACCACUGUUGCCCGGGACGAACAUGCUCUUUCGAGAGCACUGACGGUACCGGGUGAGGAAGCACCGGCUAACUCUGUGCCAGCAGCCGCGGUAAUACAGAGGGUGCGAGCGUUGUCCGGAAUCACUGGGCGUAAAGGGCGCGUAGGCGGCUUGAUAAGCGUGCGGUGAAAGCCCGGGGCUCAACCCCGGGUCGGCCGUGCGAACUGUCGAGCUGGAGCACUGUAGAGGCAGGUGGAAUUCCGGGUGUAGCGGUGGAAUGCGUAGAGAUCCGGAAGAACACCGGUGGCGAAGGCGGCCUGCUGGGCAGUGGCUGACGCUGAGGCGCGACAGCGUGGGGAGCAAACAGGAUUAGAUACCCUGGUAGUCCACGCCGUAAACGAUGGGCACUAGGUGCUUGGGGGAGCGACCCUCCGAGUGCCGGCGCUAACGCAUUAAGUGCCCCGCCUGGGGAGUACGGCCGCAAGGCUGAAACUCAAAGGAAUUGACGGGGGCCC
rnacentral:rRNA from 1 species